GGAGCACUGCGUCGCGAACUUGGAAGAGCAAAGCAGCAGCCCCAGAGCCCCCACCGCCCCCCGGGGUCAAUCUAUUGAGUUGAAAGUGUGACUUUUAGAUCGAUCGCGGCACUCAGAUAUCGAAAUAGGGGAAGAGGUCUAGCCAACUCUGCCCCCGGAGAAAAUGCAAUCCUGGGUGCUAUCACUUGCAAUAAAUUGCUCCCGCCACCGCAAUUCUCCUGAGAAAGGA